rnacentral:rRNA from 1 species
UACAGAGGGGGCAAGCGUUGUUCGGAAUUACUGGGCGUAAAGGGCGCGUAGGCGGCCUUCUAAGUCGAACGUGAAAUCCCCGGGCUCAACCCGGGAACUGCGUCCGAUACUGGAAGGCUUGAAUCCGGGAGAGGGAUGUGGAAUUCCAGGUGUAGCGGUGAAAUGCGUAGAGUAUCUGGAGGAACACCGGUGGCGAAGGCGAACUACCUGGCC